UACGAAGGGGGCUAGCGUUGCUCGGAAUUACUGGGCGUAAAGGGCGCGUAGGCGGCACUGUUAGUCAGGCGUGAAAGUCCUGGGCUCAACCUGGGAACUGCGCUUGAUACGGCAGAGCUAGAGGAUGGAAGAGGGUCGCGGAAUUCCCAGUGUAGAGGUGAAAUUCGUAGAUAUUGGGAAGAACACCGGUGGCGAAGGCGGCGACCUGGUCCAUUACUGACGCUGAGGCGCGACAGCGUGGGGAGCGAACAGG
rnacentral:rRNA from 1 species